rnacentral:rRNA from 1 species
GAUGAACGCUAGCGGCAGGCUUAACACAUGCAAGUCGAGGGGUAACAGAGUAGCUUGCUAUUGCUGACGACCGGCGCACGGGUGCGUAACGCGUAUAGAAUCUACCUUAUACUGAGGGAUAGCCCAGAGAAAUUUGGAUUAAUACCUCAUGGUAUUGUUUAAUGGCAUCAUUGAAUAAUUAAAGGUUACGGUAUAAGAUGACUAUGCGUCUUAUUAGCUAGUUGGUAAGGUAACGGCUUACCAAGGCAACGAUAAGUAGGGGUCCUGAGAGGGAGAUCCCCCACACUGGUACUGAGACACGGACCAGACUCCUACGGGAGGCAGCAGUGAGGAAUAUUGGACAAUGGAGGCAACUCUGAUCCAGCCAUGCCGCGUGUAGGAAGACUGCCCUAUGGGUUGUAAACUACUUUUAUAUAGGAAGAAACGUAUCUACGUGUAGGUAUUUGACGGUACUAUAAGAAUAAGGAUCGGCUAACUCCG